AUAUAUAGCCAUAUCACCCUGCAGCCCAAGACUGGUUGCCCACUGAAGCUAAGCAGGGCUGAGUCUGGUCAGUACCUGAAUGGGAGACCUCUUGGGAAAACUAGGUUGCUGUUGGAA
rnacentral:rRNA from 1 species